UGGAUAUGAUGACAGCUGAGGUGUGGCGCUGGCGUGAGUGAAUGCUGAACAUGUUUAAAUGUGUGUGUGUGUGUGUGUGUGUGUGUGUGUGUGUGGCGCUGAUGGGUGGGGGUGUCAGAGAUCAGUGCUGAUACAGGAGUGCAUCUGAGGCGGCCGCUCACACCGAGGCUUCUCUGCGGUCUGGCUGAUGAUUAGAGCCUCGGUAUCAUCCUCACUCCUCGGCCACCGGCGCCACAGUCUCAGCAGGGCACGUGAUCCGUCACAAACACCCUGCGAUCUGAUCCGA